ensembl:lncRNA
CUCUUCCUCCUGCUCUCUUCUCUAUGGAGCCGCCAUGUGAUCCUGGGAAGAGGACGCCAGCGGAAGGUGUCCUCGAUAAGAUAAGUCUUAUAAAAUAUAUAGAUUCAUGAUAAUUAAGACUGAGCUAGCAUAUAAGAAAUCCUAGCCAAGUGGCCAGCAGCAUUGUAAACUAAUAUAAAACUCUGUGUGUUAUUCUGGGCACCCACAUGGUGGCAGGGCUCGAGUGGAUGGAGUGAAGACUUAUCGUUACACCCUCCCAUCCUAAAAACUUGAAUUCUUUCACUCAGCUAAUCAUCCCAUCUUAAUUCCAGAUAGAUAUCUUCCAAGUCAGCCUCACCCUAGACCCUAAGCAGCUCAGGCACAUAUAAAACAAAACCCCUCCCAUCUGUCAGCCCUGCCACUCAGCAAGUGGCUACAUGGCAAACCAGCCCAUGAGGGAUCCUGAGGGUACCCAUGAUGUGGAUGCAUGCUCUCAGACUCUACUUGUGGUGGGAAAUAGCUCCAGAGAAACACUAGCUCUGGCCCCUGCCUUCUCAGGGACCAGGCUGCCACCUAGAUACUUGGUUGAGCCUGGUGGGACCCAGGCUACUGAGAAUUAUCAACAACGGCUAUCAUACAGGAUGUUUCCAAAGCAAACACCCCCUUGGAUCAAUAGGACCAUCUGUUUCCCAUUUAGAGAGACACAUUAUCUAAACAUUUUCAUCAUCUGCUGCUGCUUCCAGCUCCCUCCUCCCAGAAUCAGCCUCAUCUGUCAACAGCCCUGUUUCUUCCCCACCCUAAGGUAGAAGAACAUGAGGUGCCCAGAUGUACAGCUGUUUACAUCGUACAGAACAUGAGGCCUGGCUGGUGGCUCCCUGCUCAUCCCUGGCUCUUUCCUCGAAGCAGUCCAGGCCUCUGAUGAUUGCUACAAGCCAAAUGGUCACGGACAAGCCUAGUCAUUAUGCUGUCUCCUCCCCUUGACUCACCGCAGACCUGACUGCCUCACAUAUCUGGUUUCCUCAUCAGAAAGCAGCCUGAGGUUUCUUCGCCUUUUGAUUGACUGUUGAAUGAAAACCAGGCCCUUUUGUUUGCUGUGGGGUUCUUUGUUUAUUUGGUUUCCCGUAGGAUGUCUUGCUUAAUUCAUCUCUGGCCAGCCUCCAUGGACCAGCCAUGAUACUUGGCACCUUCUAGUCUUUGUCUCUACGAUUGCUUCCUGUACCCCAGGCCCACCUUAGUGAGAAGCAUUCUUCCCACUGAGGCUCACCAAAUACCUCCUGCCUAUAUGUGAACUCAGCCAACAUCGCAAACUACCCAGAGUCCAGGGCUUUCAAAAGUGAUGGCAAUGUUUGUUCAAAAUAGUUGGACAUUCCUGAGCUAAAGAGAGCAACAUCACAAAAUAUGUACCAAAGAGAGGGAACCACAGAACUUUCAUUUUCAAAUGACUCAUUCCAUCCACAGCUGCAGGGUGAACUGCUAGUGAGGCUAUUACUCUAACUCACUAACUUGGCAAGGGUACUAUGUGGACGUCCCCAAAGUGCUUUGGCUUCUACCAACUCAUUUCGUCUUCUACAGUGUUGUAAAAGGGAAUGGAUGAGAGGUCGUUCCUUUCUGUUGUUCAAGUGGCACGUCUACUUUGUGAGGAGGUCCUCCAUGGAGAACCUUCUGGAAUGAAGUCCCAAAUGUGCUUCCUAAGUUUUCCGGACUCAAGCAAUGGAAGAGCAGCCGUGAAAUCCAGUCAGCUCACCCUUCUCGGGGCACACAAUCCCAGACAGGAGCUGAGAUGAUGGAAGAGCCCCAUUUUGCAGUUGAAUACAUUGAAUUAAGAAGAGGAAAUAGAGACCAGAGACCAGUGGAUCCACAUAGAAACACAUUUCUACAUAGACACGUUUCUCUGCUUGGUCUCCGGCAUACAGGAGGAUCUUCUCAUUGUGCACCCCUGCCAAUGACUUCCUGGAAGAAUUAGAGUGGGGUGCUCCCUUGACCUGCUCCUCUGUUGCUCCGGAAAGCCAGGAGUAGAAACACAUCAUUGUUUACAUGCCAGGGCUGUGGGCUGGAGCUGAGAGCCUCACAAAAAUCUCUCUCUCUGGACUCGGAAGUCAGCAGGCAAGUGCCCAAGGUUCCCUCUCACUGGAUCAGGAUAAUCUGGUCAUUGUGAACAGGUACAGCAUGGAGAAGGAGAAGGGAGAGAGGACCAAAGGGAUAAGGAACAAGGUGGAUAGCAUGGGCCCCAUUUUGACCUCAGCAACAAAGAAGAAUGAAUGAAAUUUGUACCAGUCACCCAUCUGUGUGCUUAGCGACUAUAAGAUACACCUAUUCUCAGCCCAGGUUCUUAAAAGGAUUCUCACAUGUGUAGAGAACCUGGCAGGGUGUCGGUUAGAGAGGGCACCAGCCAACACUGGGUCUCUUUGCUUCCCUGGGAUCCAGUUGUGAGCCACCGAAGAGACAUCUAGAUACAGGCACAGACCUGAUGGCCUCAUGUGAAGGCCAAAGAUGAUCAAGAAUGGGAGGAGGAUGUGGGCACAAGAUAGACUCCACUCAGCUUUCCUGCAUGCUCACCCUUAGGAACUGUCAUACUCUCAGCAAUAAUUAUGCUAUCCCAUAACUCCACAGUUCAUAGCUUAAGUAAGUUGUUUUCAAUAAUCAAGUUAGAGUCUCAGAUGCAACAGAAAGUGUACCCAGCUUUGGCCUAGCCUCCUUAUCUUCCUCGCCAUUUUCUCAUUUAUGAACACCAAACCAAGGCCUUCAAAGACCUGUUUCUGAAUGCUGUCAUGGUUCCUUUCAAGAGAACCACGAUGCCUCUUGCACUAUGGCUUCAGCUGGCUCUGUUUGAUGACAACAAAAGAUUGGCAUGGGUAGACCAAGUCUGUGGAAGGGACCUAAUUGGAGCCAUCUGGUUCUAGCCACUCACAGAGCCAUAUCAUGUUCCAGGAGCCUGCUCAAGGAUGAAAGCACCCCAUCCCUAUCUUCUGAAGAGACUACCUGGAGUCUGUGAAGCUCUCAGGAGCCUGCUCAAGGAUGAAAACAUCCCAUCCCUAUCUUCUGGAGAGACUACCUGGACUGUGAAGCUCUCAGAAAGAGAAUUAGGAUUUCUUUCAAGAGGGUACCAGGUCAUCAAGUGAUGCAGCCUAGGGAAGCAGCAAACCAGGGCUUCAUACCACAGCUCUUACAUACUGGUACAUACUCAGCAAGGCUUCAAAAGGGAAUUCUAUGUCUCACCUGUCCAAGUCUCUGCUUACCUAAUUGUGCAGCUUCAGCUGGAGAGUCUAAAACAUCUUUCCAGGGUUCCAACUCAGGUCUGUGUGAAUCCAAGGGCUCCUAUGGACUCUCUACAUAAGUGAAGGUCAGAAAAGAGGCUGGUGUGGUUAGGUUUCCAGCAGAGAAGGAGGAAAACCAAGGAGCAGUGUAGAAGCAAGGCCCUGAACAAAGAGGCUGCAUGAGUUCACCAUAAGAAGACCUGAAGGUUCUGGGGCCCUGCUGCCUGGGGCAGGGUGCUGUAUCCAGAGAACCUUCUCUGAGAUACUGUCACCUACCAGCCUGGCAUAGUUCAGGGCAUGAGUCUGGGGCCUGAGACAACAGUCAUGACUCCUGCAACAUAGUACUGGGAACACAGUGUGCAGUUUAAUGUGUGCCCAGUGCACAAACCCUUGGCCACAGGGGAGGGACAGUGCAUCUGAAAACCUUUGUGCCCACCAGGGUGUACUGGCUUAUAAAUUGUUACCUUUGCUAACCCUUGCAAAGCAAUGUGUAAAUGCACUGUUGUCCUUCUUGGUGCAAACCCCCUUUCUGGGUCUUUUGACUUACUUAUUUCUUGAUUAUCUGCUGAGCACCUACUAUGUGCCAGGUUACUGAAAAUGACAGAGACACUGCUCUUGCUCUGAAGAGCUGAAGACCCGAAGAGGGCACACUGCAAAGACCCUGGGAAAGCACAGAUGCAGGCUAACACGGAGACAAGCUGGGUGAACUCAGGUCUGAAUGCUGGAGUCUUUCAUAGGUAGACGUGUCCCUCCUUUUACUUGCCCCACCCCCACAUGGUAGAUGAAAUUCUCUGAACGGAUGUACAGUUCCCAUCGCACCAGCUGCUCUCCAGCUCAUCUGAUCUCUGGAUUGCUCUGACCCCAGCUAGCCACCCUUCACCCCCAGGUGUAGUCAAAAGGUCCUUUGUUUCCGGGGAUUGUGGGAAAUUCCUUCCUUCCUCCCUGCCACUCUUAAUAGGCUCAGUAUUUGAUUGUCAACAGAUGGGGGGUCAAUUCUCAUAAACCAAGGCCCCCAGGUCUGAACUGUUUCUCCAAGUGUUUCCAACUCUCCACAGAACCGAGGCCCGAUACAACGCUGAACCCAGAGUCAAUCCAACCCGGAGCUUCUGAGAAAAUAGGUACAGGUUUAAACCAGUGUGCUCUUGGGCACAGAACACAUGUGUCCUUCUCAGAACCUGGGUGAUCUCUGUCCCUGGAUCUUUUUCAUAACACCACGGGUAUCAGUCCAAAGUGGUCCCCAUGCAUGCGUGCGUGCGCACACACACACACACACACACACACACACACACACACACACACACACACAUAUAUAUAUAUAUAUAUAUAUAUAUAUAUACAAACACACAUAUACACAUAUACAAACACACACAUAUACACACAUACAGGCAUGUAUACAAACACACACAUACACCUACAUAUCCAAACACACACAUAUACACAACACACACAGGAACACACAUACACAUACAUAUAAACACACACACACAUACACACACCAUUUAUUACCUCUAGG